rnacentral:rRNA from 1 species
UACGUAGGUCCCGAGCGUUGUCCGGAUUUAUUGGGCGUAAAGCGAGCGCGGGUGGUUUAUUAAGUCUGGUGUAAAAGGCAGUGGCUCAACCAUUGCAUGCAUUGGAAACUGGUAGACUUGAGUGCAGGAGAGGAGAGUGGAAUUCCAUGUGUAGCGGUGAAAUGCGUAGAUAUAUGGAGGAACACCGGUGGCGAAAGCGGCUCUCUGGCCUGUAACUGACACUGAGGCUCGAAAGCGUGGGGAGCAAACAGG